GACGAACGCUGGCGGCGUGCUUAACACAUGCAAGUCGAACGGAAAGGCCCCUUUGGGGGUCCUCGAGUGGCGAACGGGUGAGUAACACGUGAGUAACCUGCCCUUGACUUCGGGAUAACUUCAGGAAACUGGGGCUAAUACCGGAUAGGAAUCCUUGCUGCAUGGUGGGGGUUGGAAAGCUUCGGCGGUUUUGGAUGGACUCGCGGCUUAUCAGCUUGUUGGUGGGGUAGUGGCUUACCAAGGCUUUGACGGGUAGCCGGCCUGAGAGGGCGACCGGCCACAUUGGGACUGAGAUACGGCCCAGACUCCUACGGGAGGCAGCAGUGGGGAAUAUUCCACAAUGGGCGGAAGCCUGAUGCAGCAACGCCGCGUGCGGGAUGACGGCCUUCGGGUUGUAAACCGCUUUCAGCAGGGGCGAAGCUUGUGGUGACGGUACCUGCAGAAGAAGCACCGGCUAACUACGUG
rnacentral:rRNA from 1 species